rnacentral:rRNA from 1 species
UACGUAGGUGACAAGCGUUGUCCGGAUUUACUGGGCGUAAAGAGCGCGCAGGCGGUCGAUCAAGUCGAGUGUGAAAGCCCCCGGCUCAACUGGGGAGGGUCAUUCGAUACUGAUCGACUCGAAGGCAGGAGAGGGUAGUGGAAUUCCCGGUGUAGUGGUGAAAUGCGUAGAUAUCGGGAGGAACACCAGUGGCGAAGGCGACUACCUGGCCUGUUCUUGACGCUGAGGAGCGAAAGCGUGGGGAGCGAAGAGG